GGCCAUACCACCCUGAAUGCACCUGACCUCAUCUAAUCUCGGAAGCUAAGCAGAGUCGGGCUUGGUUAGUACUUGCAUGGGAGAAAACAGAAGAAAACACCU
rnacentral:rRNA from 1 species